rnacentral:rRNA from 1 species
GACGAACGCUGGCGGCGUGCUUAACACAUGCAAGUCGAACGGAAAGGCCCUGCUUUUGUGGGGUGCUCGAGUGGCGAACGGGUGAGUAACACGUGAGUAACCUGCCCUUGACUUUGGGAUAACUUCAGGAAACUGGGGCUAAUACCGGAUAGGAGCUCCUGCUGCAUGGUGGGGGUUGGAAAGUUUCGGCGGUUGGGGAUGGACGCGCGGCUUAUCAGCUUGUUGGUGGGGUAGUGGCUUACCAAGGCUUUGACGGGUAGCCGGCCUGAGAGGGUGACCGGCCACAUUGGGACUGAGAUACGGCCCAGACUCCUACGGGAGGCAGCAGUGGGGAAUAUUGCACAAUGGGCGGAAGCCUGAUGCAGCAACGCCGCGGGCGGGAUGACGGCCUUCGGGUUGUAAACCGCUUUCGCCUGUGACGAAGCGUGAGUGACGGUAAUGGGUAAAGAAGCACCGGCUAACUACGUG